UGGGGAAUAUUGGGCAAUGGGCGCAAGCCUGACCCAGCGACGCCGCGUGGGUGAUGAAGGCCUUCGGGUCGUAAAGCCCUGUCGGGUGGAAAGAAUGACCUCGGGGCGAAUAGCCCCGGGGUGUGACGGUACCACCGAAGGAAGCACCGGCCAAUUCCGUGCCAGCAGCCGCGGUAAGACGGAAGGUGCAAGCGUUGCUCGGAAUCACUGGGCGUAAAGGGUGCGUAGGCGGCCGCGCAAGUCUGGCGUGAAAGCCCCGGGCUCAGCCCGGGAAGGGCGCUCGAAACGGCGCGGCUCGAGUGCCGGAGGGGAGAGUGGAAUUCCUGGUGUAGCGGUGAAAUGCGUAGAUAUCAGGAGGAAUACCGGUGGCGAAAGCGACUCUCUGGACGGUAACUGACGCUGAGGCACGAAAGCGUGGGGAGCAAACAG
rnacentral:rRNA from 1 species